rnacentral:rRNA from 1 species
AUGCAGUCGAGCGCCCCUUCGGGGGAGCGGCGGACGGGUUAGUAACGCGUGGGAAUAUGCCCUUCUCUACGGAAUAGCCCAGGGAAACUUGGAUUAAUACCGUAUACGCCCUUAGGGGGAAAGAUUUAUCGGAGAAGGAUUAGCCCGCGUUAGAUUAGAUAGUUGGUGAGGUAACGGCUCACCAAGUCAACGAUCUAUAGCUGGUUUGAGAGGAUGAUCAGCAACACUGGAACUGAGACACGGUCCAGACUCCUACGGGAGGCAGCAGUGGGGAAUCUUGGACAAUGGGCGCAAGCCUGAUCCAGCCAUGCCGCGUGAGUGAAGAAGGCCUUAGGGUCGUAAAGCUCUUUCGCCUGUGAAGAUAAUGACGGUAGCAGGUAAAGAAACCCCGGCUAACUCCGUGCCAGCAGCCGCGGUAAUACGGAGGGGGUUAGCGUUGUUCGGAAUUACUGGGCGUAAAGCGCACGUAGGCGGAUUAGUAAGUUAGGGGUGAAAUCCCAGGGCUCAACCCUGGAACUGCCUCUAAAACUGCUAGUCUUGAGUUCGAGAGAGGUGAGUGGAAUUCCGAGUGUAGAGGUGAAAUUCGUAGAUAUUCGGAGGAACACCAGUGGCGAAGGCGGCUCACUGGCUCGAUACUGACGCUGAGGUGCGAAAGCAUGGGGAGCAAACAGGAUUAGAUACCCUGGUAGUCCAUGCCGUAAACGAUGAAUGCCAGUCGUCGGGUAGCAUGCUAUUCGGUGACGCAGUUAACGCAUUAAGCAUUCCGCCUGGGGAGUACGGUCGCAAGAUUAAAACUCAAAGGAAUUGACGGGGCCCGCACAAGCGGUGGAGCAUGUGGUUUAAUUCGAAGCAACGCGCAGAACCUUACCAUCCUUUGACAUC